GCGUUAUAACGGGUAACGGAGAAUUAGGGUUCGAUUCCGGAGAGGGAGCCUGAGAAAUGGCUACCACUUCUAAGGAGGGCAGCAGGCGCGCAAAUUACCCAAUCCUAAUACGGGGAGGUAGUGACAAUAAAUAACAAUGCUGGUACUAUAAUGUAUUAGUAAUUGGAAUGAGAACAAUUUAAACCCCUUAACGAGUAACCAUCAGAGGGCAAGUCUGGUGCCAGCAGCCGCGGUAAUUCCAGCUCUGAUAGCGUAUAUUAAAGUUGUUGCAGUUAAAAAGCUCGUAGUUGCAUUUUAGGUUUUUCACUUUGAUGGUCGGUUAUGAUAAAUAAUCUUGUACUGUUAAAGUAAACCUUUCCUACUGGUUACUCGACUCUGUUCUUUAUUGGAUGGAGUAGUGUCGCAAGGCAUCAUUUAAUAUUAUAUUGCUUUUUAAUGUAGUAAUUGGGUUAAACUGGUUAUGAAAUUAAAGGGAGAACAGUAUGGUAUUAAAUGGGGUUCCAGUUCAUUUACUUUGAGUAAAUUAGAGUGUUCAAAGCAGCCUUUUGGGGCAUUGAAUAGAUUAGCAUGGGAUAAUAGAAUAGGAUUUUUGUCUAUUUAUUUGGUUUUUAGAUUUAAAAUAAUGGUUAAUAGGGAUAGUUGGGGGCACUUGUAUUCAAUAGUCAGAGGUGAAAUUCUAGGAUUUAUUGAAGACAAACUUCAGCGAAAGCAUUUGCCAAGCAUGUUUUCAUUAAUCAAGAACGAAAGUUAGGGGAUCGAAGACGAUUAGACACCGUCGUAGUCUUAACUAUAAACUAUGCCGACCAGGGAUAUGAGGGAUAUUUUAAUUUAUGUUAUUAUCAAAUAACAUAAUCUCUUGUGAACCUUGUGAGAAAUCAUAAGUUUUUGGGUUCUGGGGGGAGUAUGGUCGCAAGGCUGAAACUUAAAGGAAUUGACGGAGGGGCACCACCAGGAGUGGAGCCUGCGGCUUAAUUUGACCCAACACGGGAAAACUUACCAGGUCCAGACAUUUGAAGGAUUGACAGGUUGAUAGCCCUUUCUUGAUUAAAUGGGUGGUGGUGCAUGGCCGUUCUUAGUUGGUGGAGUGAUUUGUCUGGUUAAUUCCGAUAACGAACGAGACCUCUGCCAUUAAAUAGAGAUAGUUAUAUGAAAAUAUAGCUAGUUAUAAAUAUUUACUCUUCUUAAUGGGACUUUUGGUUUUUAAUCCAAAGGAAGUUAGAGGCAAUAACAGGUCUGUGAUGCCCUUAGAUGUUCUGGGCCGCACGCGCGCUACACUGAUAACAUCAAAAAGUAUAUUUAUUUAAUCCUUCUCUGGAAAGAGU
rnacentral:rRNA from 1 species